UCAAGUAAUUAAGUGCAUGUGGUGGAUGCCUUGGCAGUCAGAGGCGAUGAAAGACGUGAUAGCCUGCGAAAAGCUCCGGGGAGGCGGCAAAUAUCCUUUGAUCCGGAGAUGUCUGAAUGGGGGAACCCACCUACUUUAAGGUAGGUAUUGCAACAUGAAUACAUAGUGUUGCAAGGCGAACGAGGGGAAGUGAAACAUCUCAGUACCCUUAGGAAAAGAAAUCAAUUGAGAUUCCCUCAGUAGCGGCGAGCGAACGGGGAUCAGCCCAUUAAGUUAUGUGUGUUUUAGUGGAACGCUCUGGGAAGUGCGAACGUAGAGGGUGAUAUUCCCGUACACGAAAGGGCACACAUAAUGAUGACGAGUAGGGCGAGGCACGUGAAACCUUGUCUGAAUAUGGGGGGACCAUCCUCCAAGGCUAAAUACUCCUGACUGACCGAUAGUGAACCAGUACCGUGAGGGAAAGGCGAAAAGAACCCCUGUGAGGGGAGUGAAAUAGAUCCUGAAACCGCAUGCAUACAAGCAGUGGGAGCACCUUCGUGGUGUGACUGCGUACCUUUUGUAUAAUGGGUCAGCGACUUAUAUUCAGUAGCGAGGUUAACCGUAUAGGGGAGCCGUAGAGAAAUCGAGUCUUAAUAGGGCGUUUAGUUGCUGGGUAUAGACCCGAAACCAGGCGAUCUAUCCAUGAGCAGGUUGAAGGUUGGGUAACACUAACUGGAGGACCGAACCCACUGUCGUUGAAAAGCCAGGGGAUGACUUGUGGAUAGGGGUGAAAGGCUAAUCAAGCCUGGUGAUAGCUGGUUCUCCCCGAAAGCUAUUUAGGUAGCGCCUCGGACGAAUACCAUAGGGGGUAGAGCACUGUUUCGGCUAGGGGGUCAUCCCGACUUACCAAACCGAUGCAAACUCCGAAUACCUAUGAGUACUAUCCGGGAGACAGACUGCGGGUGCUAACGUCCGUAGUCAAGAGGAAAACAAUCCAGACCGCCAGCUAAGGCCCCAAAAUCAUAGUUAAGUGGGAAACGAUGUGGGAAGGCAUAGACAGCUAGGAGGUUGGCUUAGAAGCAGCCACCCUUUAAAGAAAGCGUAAUAGCUCACUAGUCGAGUCGGCCUGCGCGGAAGAUGUAACGGGGCUAAAACUAUGUGCCGAAGCUGCGGAUGUAUACUUUGUAUACGUGGUAGGGGAGCGUUCUGUAAGCCGAUGAAGGUGUGUUGAGAAGCAUGCUGGAGGUAUCAGAAGUGCGAAUGCUGACGUGAGUAACGACAAAACGGGUGAAAAACCCGUUCGCCGAAAGACCAAGGGUUCCAGUCCAACGUUAAUCGGGGCUGGGUGAGUCGACCCCUAAGGCGAGGCCGAAAGGCGUAGUCGAUGGGAAAAUGGUUAAUAUUCCAUUACUUCUGUGUAAUGCGAUGAGAGGACGGAGAAGGCUAAAUCAGCCUGGCGUUGGUUGUCCAGGUGAAAGGAUGUAGGCAUGUAUCUUAGGCAAAUCCGGGGUACUCUAUGCUGAGAUCUGAUAGCAAGCUGUACUUGUACAGCGAAGUGGUUGAUGCCAUGCUUCCAGGAAAAGUCUCUAAGCUUCAGUUACACAGGAAUCGUACCCGAAACCGACACAGGUGGUCAGGUCGAGUAGACCAAGGCGCUUGAGAGAACUCUGCUGAAGGAACUAGGCAAAAUGGUACCGUAACUUCGGGAGAAGGUACGCUGUUGUUGGUGAUGGAACUCGCUUCCUGAGCUGACGACAGCCGCAGAAACCAGGCCGCUGCAACUGUUUAUUAAAAACAUAGCACUCUGCAAACACGAAAGUGGACGUAUAGGGUGUGAUGCCUGCCCGGUGCUGGAAGGUUAAUUGAUGGGGUUAGCGUAAGCGAAGCUCUUGAUCGAAGCCCCAGUAAACGGCGGCCGUAACUAUAACGGUCCUAAGGUAGCGAAAUUCCUUGUCGGGUAAGUUCCGACCUGCACGAAUGGCAUAAUGAUGGCGGCGCUGUCUCCAGCAGAGGCUCAGUGAAAUCGAAAUCGCUGUGAAGAUGCAGUGUACCCGCGGCUAGACGGAAAGACCCCGUGAACCUUUACUGCAGCUUGACACUGAACUUUGACCUUACUUGUGUAGGAUAGGUGGGAGGCUUUGAAGCUGGAACGCUAGUUCCAGUGGAGCCGUCCUUGAAAUACCACCCUGGUAAUGUUGAGGUUCUAACUCUGUCCCGUGAUCCGGGACGAGGACCGUGUCUGGUGGGUAGUUUGACUGGGGCGGUCUCCUCCUAAAGAGUAACGGAGGAGUACGAAGGUGCGCUCAGCGUGGUCGGAAAUCACGCGUAGAGUAUAAAGGCAAAAGCGCGCUUAACUGCGAGACCCACAAGUCGAGCAGGUACGAAAGUAGGUCUUAGUGAUCCGGUGGUUCUGUAUGGAAGGGCCAUCGCUCAACGGAUAAAAGGUACUCUGGGGAUAACAGGCUGAUACCGCCCAAGAGUUCAUAUCGACGGCGGUGUUUGGCACCUCGAUGUCGGCUCAUCUCAUCCUGGGGCUGAAGCAGGUCCCAAGGGUAUGGCUGUUCGCCAUUUAAAGAGGUACGCGAGCUGGGUUUAGAACGUCGUGAGACAGUUCGGUCCCUAUCUACCGUGGGCGCUGGAAAUUUGAGAGGAUCUGCUCCUAGUACGAGAGGACCAGAGUGGACGAACCUCUGGUGUACCGGUUGUGACGCCAGUCGCAUCGCCGGGUAGCUAUGUUCGGAAGGGAUAACCGCUGAAAGCAUCUAAGCGGGAAGCCUACCUCAAGAUAAGAUUUCCCUAGGACUUUAUGUCCUCUAAAGAGCCGUUCGAGACUAGGACGUUGAUAGGUUGGAUGUGUAAGCAUAGUGAUAUGUGAAGCUGACCAAUACUAAUUGCUCGUGAGGCUUGACUAU
rnacentral:rRNA from 1 species